CGUCCAGACUCCUACGGGAGGCAGCAGUGGGGAAUAUUGCACAAUGGGGGGAACCCUGAUGCAGCGACGCCGCGUGGAUGAAGGAGCACCUCGGUGCGUAAAGCCCUAUCGGCAGGGAAGAAAAGCGAACAGGUUCGCCUGGACGGUACCUGACUAAGAAGCCCCGGCUAACUACGUGCCAGCAGCCGCGGUAAUACGUAGGGGGCAAGCGUUAUCCGGAGUGACUGGGUGUAAAGAGUUGCGUAGGUGGCAUAGUAAGUAGCUAGUGAAAUCUGGUGGCUCAACCAUUCAGACUAUUAGCUAAACUGCUAAGCUCGAGACCGUUAGGGGUAACUGGAAUUUCUAGUGUAGGAGUGAAAUCCGUAGAUAUUAGAAGGAACACCGAUAGCGUAGGCAGGUUACUGGGACGGUUCUGACACUAAGGCACGAAAGCGUAGGGAGCAAACGGGAUUAGAUACCCUAGUA
rnacentral:rRNA from 1 species